rnacentral:rRNA from 1 species
UACGUAGGUGGCAAGCGUUGUCCGGAUUUACUGGGCGUAAAGAGCUCGUAGGUGGUUUGUCGCGUUGUUCGUGAAAACUCACAGCUCAACUGUGGGCGUGCGGGCGAUACGGGCAGACUUGAGUACUGCAGGGGAGACUGGAAUUCCUGGUGUAGCGGUGGAAUGCGCAGAUAUCAGGAGGAACACCGGUGGCGAAGGCAGGUCUCUGGGCUGACACUGACGCUCAUGCACGAAAGCGUGGGGAGCAAACAGG